rnacentral:rRNA from 1 species
UGGGGAAUAUUGCGCAAUGGGGGGAACCCUGACGCAGCCAUGCCGCGUGAAUGAAGAAGGCCUUCGGGUUGUAAAGUUCUUUCGGUAUUGAGGAAGGUUGAUGUGUUAAUAGCACAUCAAAUUGACGUUAAAUACAGAAGAAGCACCGGCUAACUCCGUGCCAGCAGCCGCGGUAAUACGGAGGGUGCGAGCGUUAAUCGGAAUAACUGGGCGUAAAGGGCACGCAGGCGGUUAUUUAAGUGAGGUGUAAAAGCCCUGGGCUUAACCUAGGAAUUGCAUUUCAGACUGGGUAACUAGAGUACUUUAGGGAGGGGUAGAAUUCCACGUGUAGCGGUGAAAUGCGUAGAGAUGUGGAGGAAUACCGAAGGCGAAGGCAGCCCCUUGGGAAUGUACUGACGCUCAUGUGCGAAAGCGUGGGGAGCAAACAGGAUUAGAUACCCUGGUAGUCCACGCUGUAAACGCUGUCGAUUUGGGGAUUGGGCUUAGAGCUUGGUGCCCGUAGCUAACGUGAUAAAUCGACCGCCUGGGGAGUACGGCCGCAAGGUUA